CCGCGCACCGCGAGACAGGAAAAUAUCUGGGAAACAUGGGAAAGUGGGCGUGGGGUGUUGGGUAAACGUGGUCACUGCGGGUGUUUUCGCUGGCGCGGCGUUCCCAACGGGCUCGGAGCGCUUCCGGGGAGGGUGCCGCCGUGAUUUUUUUGCUGCGUAAUCGGUCCGGCGGAGGUGUCGCCUCCUCGGCUCCCUGACAGAGCUGCCCCUGCCCCGCUCCGAGCGCCGAGCCGGGCGUGUGGGACCCACGGCGGGCUCCAGGGAGAGCCGGCAGAAACUUCUUUCUGCCCCGUGUAAUUUCUCUGUUCCACCUCGUUAAAACCUCACGAAAUCGUGGCAGUUUUCACAUCCCUGCUACCGCUCAGUUGUUACUGGAACUCCUACCUGGAUUAUCUCAGGAGCUACUUGCAAAGAAGGCAAAUACUCUUGCUGAAGAUACUGAAUGCACUCAGGACCCUAAAGAAAAGCAGUACACAAUUUUUUCAUGCAUUUUUUUUUUCACAGAUGGAAAAACCAUAGCCCUAUACUGUAUGGUGAUCUAUAUCACCAUUUCACAGAAAAUGAAUGCUUUCCAAAUGUUUAAGUUAUUCUCAGCUGUUAGCAAAUAAAAAGAUUUCUCAACCUUG